rnacentral:rRNA from 1 species
CCUACGGGAGGCAGCAGUAGGGAAUAUUGCUCAAUGGGGGAAACCCUGAAGCAGCAACGCCGCGUGGAGGAUGAAGGUCUUCGGAUUGUAAACUCCUUUUGUUAGAGAAGAUAAUGACGGUAUCUAACGAAUAAGCACCGGCUAACUCCGUGCCAGCAGCCGCGGUACUACGGAGGGUGCAAGCGUUACUCGGAAGCACUGGGCGUAAAGAGCGCGUAGGCGGGAUAGUAAGUCAGAUGUGAAAUCCUAUGGCUUAACCAUAGAAUUGCAUUUGAAACUGUUAUUCUAGAGUAUGGGAGAGGUAGGUGGAAUUCGUGGUGUAGGGGUAAAAUCCGUAGAGAUCAAGAGGAAUACUCAUUGCGAAGGCGACUUGCUAGAACGUAACUGACGCUGAUGCGCGAAAGCGUGGGGAGCAAACAGGAUUAGAUACCCUGGUAGUC